GAUGAACGCUGGCGGCGUGCCUAAUACAUGCAAGUCGAGCGAACGGACGAGAAGCUUGCUUCUCUGAUGUUAGCGGCGGACGGGUGAGUAACACGUGGAUAACCUACCUAUAAGACUGGGAUAACUUCGGGAAACCGGAGCUAAUACCGGAUGAUAUUUUGAACCGCAUGGUUCAAAAGUGAAAGACGGUCUUGCUGUCACUUAUAGAUGGAUCCGCGCUGCAUUAGCUAGUUGGUAAGGUAACGGCUUACGAAGGCAACGAUGCAUAGCCGACCUGAGAGGGUGAUCGGCCACACUGGAACUGAGACACGGUCCAGACUCCUACGGGAGGCAGCAGUAGGGAAUCUUCCGCAAUGGGCGAAAGCCUGACGGAGCAACGCCGCGUGAGUGAUGAAGGUCUUCGGAUCGUAAAACUCUGUUAUUAGGGAAGAACAUAUGUGUAAGUAACUGUGCACAUCUUGACGGUACCUAAUCAGAAAGCCACGGCUAACUACGUG
rnacentral:rRNA from 1 species